rnacentral:rRNA from 1 species
AUACGUAGGUGGCAAGCGUUAUCCGGAAUUAUUGGGCGUAAAGAGGGAGCAGGCGGCAGCAAGGGUCUGUGGUGAAAGCCUGAAGCUUAACUUCAGUAAGCCAUAGAAACCAGGCAGCUAGAGUGCAGGAGAGGAUCGUGGAAUUCCAUGUGUAGCGGUGAAAUGCGUAGAUAUAUGGAGGAACACCAGGGGCGAAGGCGACGAUCGGGCCUGCAACUGACUCUCAGUCCAGAAAGCGUGGGGAGCAAAUAAGAUUAGAUACCCGAGUAGUCCACGCCGUAAACGAUGAGUUCUAUGUGUUGGAUGUCAAAGUUCAGUGCUGCAGUUAACGCAAUAAGUACUCCGCCUGAGUAGUACGUUCGCAAGAAUGAAACUUAAAGGAAUUGACGGGG